rnacentral:rRNA from 1 species
UGGGGAAUAUUGCACAAUGGGGGAAACCCUGAUGCAGCAACGCCGCGUGAGUGAUGAAGGCCUUCGGGUUGUAAAGCUCUGUCUUUUGGGACGAUAAUGACGGUACCAAAGGAGGAAGCCACGGCUAACUACGUGCCAGCAGCCGCGGUAAUACGUAGGUGGCAAGCGUUGUCCGGAUUUACUGGGCGUAAAGGAUGCGUAGGCGGAUAUUUAAGUGGGAUGUGAAAGCCCCGGGCUCAACCUGGGAACUGCAUUCCAAACUGGAUAUCUAGAGUGCGGGAGAGGAGAAUGGAAUUCCUAGUGUAGCGGUGAAAUGCGUAGAGAUUAGGAAGAACACCAGUGGCGAAGGCGAUUCUCUGGACCGUAACUGACGCUGAGGCAUGAAAGCGUGGGGAGCAAA